AAAAAAAAAAAGCGUUGAAUAGAAAAAAAAAAUCAUGUAACCACUUUGAAAAAUACAUUUUAGUUAGUAGUGUUGGUAUUUAGUUACUGCAUCCAGUAAACUUUGCAGACUCUGCCUAAAAUCUGAGCAAACAAUCCUCUGUCAUUCAUCCCAGUUCUGAACUGUUAAAUGCUAAUUCUAUAGCUACACCAUGCUGAGGAGGCCAGUAACAAAUGAAAGUGAAGUUUUGGUGAAGCUUGGGACCCUGCGACUUAAGUGAAACUCAAGCUGAUAGAGAAAGAGAUGAAGAACAAGGAGAUUCUGAUUCAGGGUUACCAUCAGGUUCGGAGCAAAAACACAUCUGAAACUUCUUUCUGAUGAUUUUAACAAUAAAGGAGAAUGAGAAGCUUUAUCUGCAAGUGAAAGUGCUCCAAGCUCAAAGCAAACAAAACGAGGAGGAUUUGUUCAUGGAGAACCAGAGGCGUCUCACUGAGCUGGCCUUCACCAGGUCAGUGCUCUAAAAGUGUGUUGGUAGAGUGAUAUAAUACAUAUCAAAGCGGGGUUUUACUAUUCAUGCUGUUCUUUGCAGCAGCCGUUACAAAAGCAAUGCAUACUCAUUUCCCAAGGACCGACUGAACAUGAAGAGCAUUCAAAGAACCAUCGGAGGGAGAAGCAUUUCUGACCAAAGCUUCAACAUUGCACAGUUGACCAAAAAAGGAGGAGCAACUGCAAGACAAGAUCCGCUGGCUAAAACAAGCCCUGCAUGUAGACAUGGAGAUGGUGAGGAAAGGGCGGGACUCUACAUCAGGUGAUAAAGGUUUCGAACUAAAGAUGCUCCAGGAGAAACAUCGGGAGGAAGUCACAGAGCUGAAGAAGAGACUGUAGUGGUAUGCUGAGAACCAGGAACUACUAGACAAAGAUGCAGCCAGACUCUGAACUGCCACCACUGAGAAGGUGGCAAAGCUCAAAAUGCAGGUCAGCAGGAGGGCCAAUGAGCAACAAAGAAAGGCAAAAGAGAGAGCGGGCGAAGCUAAAAGAAUCCAGACCUGGAACGACAGGUCAGACACAGCCUCUCCACAUAUUUUUGUUGUCUCAUUCUGCAGGUACUGCUAAUUCAGGGCACGUUCUUUUUGUGCUCUAUUUCCUGAGAGGUGGAAUUAUCCAACCGUGUCUGUGAGUAACAGACCAUCUGCCUGGAUAGUCAGUUUUCCAAGCACUUUCUGCUUGCCACAUCCUCUUCAUUUUACAACUCCUUUCUUUGACAGAUAUGGAUCAUCUGGAUGACUAAAUUAGUAGCUUUGUAUACAACUGGCUAAAUGGUUAGUGUACUCUCACUAUUCUCUUUGAGUCAUGUUGUUCAUGUAGGUUUCGAGUCUGGCUUGCAACAUUUCCCAAACCAUUCAAAUGUUCCUGUUUCUGUCUACUGUAUCUAUCCAAUAAUAAAAUAAUACUAAAAAUAAUCAUGAAUGGAUUUCACUCAUGUUCCCAUUUCCUGUCUCAACUCAAACAGAUGGAAGAGCUCUUGAGACGCAGUCAUCCAAACUCCCUACCAUCCCUGAUCUUGCCGCUUCAUCUACCGGCACAGAAGAUAAUGGAUGAGAUGUUUGUCCCCCAACUGCCCCUCAUUCCAACCAGACAGCAGCUCUGUGGAGAGACAUGUCCAUCAAUUGGUGGCGGAGCUAGAAGGCUGCAAUGAAGCAGCCACACGCAGGCUCAGAACAAUGGAACAACAGUAUCACAGAAUCAAAGUACUCAUUUCAGUAUUCAGUAUUGAAUAGAGCAAAAGGAAUUUAGUUUAAAAGCGCUGACUGUUCAGUCAAUAGUACAAUAUAGGAUCAAAACAAGUUUGAACUAUUGGGACAUGGUGCCCCAGAGCCCACGGACUGAAGUACACUGUUUUCGUUCUUAAUUAGUAAUGGAAAAAAACACUCAAACUACUUCUCUUUUUUUCCAAGAAUGUUUUUUACCAGAGCUCACAGGUGGAUCAAUCUAUUUCCGGCAAAUAAGUUUGCAGAGAAAAUUAGGUUUCUAUUUAAGUCCCAAGUGGACAGGGCUUUGAGUGUGCUGUAAGAAUGGCAUCAUUUCUCUAAUUUCUAAACCCCGCUGUUUGCCCAUAUGAAUGGUGGAAAUAGAAACUGCCAUGAGAACGGCAUAUAAGACUUGGCGAUAAAUUGAAUAAUUACUAUGUAUCUGCUGAUUUACUCUACUGUUCAAAGGUUCAGGGA